CAGCUUUGAUAAAAGUCAGAGGUGAUGGUUAAUGGACACUUUUGGUAGUCAGGCUGGUUGUAGAUGUCUUUCUGACCUUUACCGGAGAAGAUUUUAGUUGUGGAAUCUUGGCUAUUGACUGUAACAGUGAGUCAGCUGUACCUGGUACCUCUAAGAUCUUCUCUCUGCCCUCUUCUUGAGGCAGGUCACAGAAAACAUUUAGGAGGAGACUGCAGAGGCUUUCACAGCUUGUUCGUGUUG